AUUCUGCCCAUGCGGGGAAGGAUGAGAAGCUUCGACCAAGGUUCGACUCGAGCGCCAGCGAGAGAGCGUUGCCGCAGGCAACGACCCGAAGGGCGAAGCGCGCAGCGCUGCAGCGAGAGAGCGUUGCCGCAGGCAACGACCCGAAGGGCGAAGCGCGCAGCGCUGAGUAAUCCUUCCCCCACCACCA
rnacentral:sRNA from 1 species